rnacentral:rRNA from 1 species
GACGAACCGUGCGAACGUUAUUCGGAAUCACUGGGCUUAAAGCGCGUGUAGGCGGGCCGCCGCGUCGGCUGCUGAAAUCCCCCGGCUCAACCGGGGAACGGGCACCGAUACGGGCGGCCUCGAGGGGGGUAGGGGGGACUGGAACUUCCGGUGGAGCGGUGAAAUGCGUUGAGAUCGGAAGGAACGCCCGUGGCGAAAGCGAGUCCCUGGACCCUUUCUGACGCUGAGGCGCGAAAGCGUGGGGAGCAAACAGG